ACUCCUACGGGAGGCAGCAGUAGGGAAUCUUCCACAAUGGGCGCAAGCCUGAUGGAGCAACACCGCGUGAGUGAAGAAGGGUUUCGGCUCGUAAAGCUCUGUUGUUAAAGAAGAACACGUAUGAGAGUAACUGUUCAUACGUUGACGGUAUUUAACCAGAAAGUCACGGCUAACUACGUGCCAGCAGCCGCGGUAAUACGUAGGUGGCAAGCGUUAUCCGGAUUUAUUGGGCGUAAAGAGAGUGCAGGCGGUUUUCUAAGUCUGAUGUGAAAGCCUUCGGCUUAACCGGAGAAGUGCAUCGGAAACUGGAUAACUUGAGUGCAGAAGAGGUAGUGGAACUCCAUGUGUAGCGGUGGAAUGCGUAGAUAUAUGGAAGAACACCAGUGGCGAAGGCGGCUACCUGGUCUGCAACUGACGCUGAGACUCGAAAGCAUGGGUAGCGAACAGGAUUAGAUACCCCU
rnacentral:rRNA from 1 species